rnacentral:rRNA from 1 species
GACGAACGCUGGCGGCGUGCUUAACAUAUGUAAGUCGAACGGAAAGGCCCUGCUUUUGUGGGGUGCUCGAGUGGCGAACGGGUGAGUAACACGUGAGUAACCUGCCCUUGACUUUGGGAUAACUUCAGGAAACUGGGGCUAAUACCGGAUAGGAGCUCCUGCUGCAUGGUGGGGGUUGGAAAGUUUCGGCGGUUGGGGAUGGACUCGCGGCUUAUCAGCUUGUUUGUGGGGUAGUGGCUUACCAAGGCUUUGACGGGUAGCCGGCCUGAGAGGGUGACCGGCCACAUUGGGACUGAGAUACGGCCCAGACUCCUACGGGAGGCAGCAGUGGGGAAUAUUGCACAAUGGGCGGAAGCCUGAUGCAGCAACGCCGCGUGCGGGAUGACGGCCUUCGGGUUGUAAACCGCUUUCGCCUGUGACGAAGCGUGAGUGACGGUAAUGGGUAAAGAAGCACCGGCUAACUACGUG